GAAAAUUUUGAGGGAAAGAAAAUAAUUUUGAAGUCUAUUUUAUUUAUUUUUUUUAAAUUGAGAGCUAUUUUAAUUUUUUAAAAGUUGAGAUAAAACAAUAAUGUUAAAAAUAAGAUUUCACCAUUUCAGCUCUAUAUAGCAAAUCUUCAUGUGAAGCAAAUCUUCGUGGGUUUAGGGUGAGUGGAGGAUGUCUAAUUCGAGUGCUAGUUGGGUAGGAAUUAAGAUUUCUUAACUUUUAUUGUGUUAGUUUUUUAUUAUUUAUUUUGGAUUGAUGUAACGACAUAUGGAUGUCAGCUUGUGUUGCAAUGAAAUUUUAUUGAAUGAAGAUGGAAUUUCAGUUUAUAUUAUUGUGAUAAAUGAAUGAAAAUGAAUGUUGUAUUGAAGAUGAGUUUGUUGAUUGAAAAAAGUAAAUGUAGUUUUCGUAGCUAUUUCUAUAGAAGAGGGACUAAAUAUUGUAUUUAUUAAAAUUAUAGGGAUUAAAGUAUUGUAUUUCUUAAAAUUACAAGGAUUAAAGUAUUACGAAAAGGUUUAAAUUUUAUCCAGAAUUAAG
rnacentral:misc_RNA from 1 species